ensembl:lncRNA ACTG1P25 actin gamma 1 pseudogene 25
AGGCAGAGUCGGGCGUCCGCGUCCUCCCGGCCAGCUCGACCGUCUUCUCUAUUGGGGGCCCAUUCAGGACACAGGGGAGAAGGGAUGAUGUAUAAACCCAUGGAGUUGCUCACUCUCCUCUUACCUCCUUGAGGCAAGUCUCUGGUACUCAGGCUGGAGUGCGGUGGUGUGAUCUUGGCUCACUGUAAACUCAAGCUCCUGAACUCAAGCAAUUCUCCUGCCUUGGCCUCCCAAAGUGCUGGGAUUGCAGGUGUGAACUGCCACACCUGGCUCCCCGACUAUUCCUGUAUCAGAAAUGUAACUCACCCACUCACCACCAGCCCACACUCUGGGUUCUCCUAUCACUCCACUGCCUGCUCCUCGGCUGAUCACAAUGGAAGAAGAGAUCAUGGCACUUGUCAUUGACAAUGGCUCCAGCACAUGCAAAGCUGGCUUUGCUGGGUAUAGUUCCCCGAGCCAUGUUCCCCUCCAUCACUGGGUAUCCCUGGCACCAGGGCAUGAUGGUGGGCAUAGGCCAGAAGGACUCCUACCUGGGUGAUGAGGCCCAGAGCAAGUGCAGCAUCCUGACCCUGAAAGUGCCCCGUGGACCACCGCAUCAUCACCAACUGGGAUGACAUGGAGAAGAUCUGGCACCACACCUUCUACGAUUAGCUGCACGUGGCUCCCAAGGAGCACCCAGUGCUGCUGCCUGAGGCCCCGCUGAACCCCAGGGCCAACAGAAAGAAGAUGACUCGGAUUGAGACCUUCAACACCCCAGCAAGGUACACAGCCAUCCAGGCUGUGCUGUCCCUGUACACCUCUGGUUACACCACUGGUAUUAUCAUACACAGCUGAGACCCACACGGUGCCCGUCUACAAGGGCUAUGCCUUCCCCCAUGCCAUCCUGCGUCUGGAUGACUGGCACCUGACCAACCACCCCAUGGAGAUCUUCAGGGAGCCCAGCUACUGCUUCACCACCACAGCCAAACGGGAGAUCUUGUGCAACAUCAAGGAGAAGCUGCGGAAAUGGCCACCACAGCGUCCUCCUCCUCCCUGGAGAAGAUCUAGGAGCUGUCCAAGUGGUUCCAGUGUCUGGAGGCGCUGUUCCAGGCCUCCUUCCUGGGUAUGGAAUCUUGUGGCAUCCACCAGGCCACCUUCAACUCCAUAAAGUGUGAUGUGCACAUCCGCAAGGACCUGUUUGCCAACAUGGUGCUGUCUGGUGACACCCCCGUGUACCUGGGCAUCACCUACAUGAUGCAGAAGAUCACGACCCUGGUGCCCAGCUCCAAGAAGAUCAUCACCUUCCCUGAGCGCAAGUCCUUGUGUGGAUUGGCAGCACCAUCCUGGCCGCCUUCCAGCAGAUGUGGAUCAUCAAGCAGGAGUAGGAUGAAUCAAGCCCCUGCAUCACCCACUGCAAAUGCUUCUAAAUGGACUGCAAGCAGACGCGUGUCAUGUGCUUCAUGGAUUAAUGCAGAAGUAUAAAUUUGCCCCUGGCAAAUGCAUACACCUCAUGCUAGCCUCAAUAAACCAGAAUAAGCCUUUCAAAAGAACUGGUCCUUGAAGCUUGUAUAUCAGCACCGGAUUGUAGAACUUGGUGCUGAUUUUGACUUUGUUAACCGUUCCCUUGGUAUUUGUUUAAUACCCUGUACAUAUCUUUGAUUUAUACCCUUAGUACAUGUGGCUCAGUAACUUCAUGGCUGAGGUGAGGACAUGCUUGUGGGAGGGAAGUCUGUGGCUUGGUGGGUCUGUGUGACCUGCAGUCUCCUUAUCUGUGCAGGUACUAAGGUGUCAGAGAGCUCAGUGUUCCAGGAUUUUCCUUUUUUUUUUUUUUUUUUGAGACAGAGUUUCGCUCUAGUUGCCCACACUAGAGUGCAAUGGCGCAACCUCGGUUCACUACAACCUCCGCCUCCUGGGUCCAAGUGAUUCUCCUGCUUCAGCCUCCCAAGUAGCUGGGAUUACGGGCAUGCGCCACCACACCCGGCUAAUUUUGUAUUUUUAGUAGAGACAGGGUUUCUCCAUGUUGGUCAGGCUAGUCUCAAACUCCCGACCUUAGGUGAUGCACUGUGCCCAGCCAUUCCAGGAUUUUUCUAGAGCCUGGCAAGAGCUCCUGAACCAGUUUCAUUUCUGUCUUGCUGGUCUAUUAGUGUUAAGUCUUGAGCUAGAAGCGGUUUACAUUUACACCUGUAAAUUUAUUCAUUCUUUUAAUUUAUGUAAGUUUUUUGUACAUAAUUCUCAAUUUUUAAAGAGAUGACCACAAAUUUUGGUUUUCCACUGUUAUUUACAUAAGGAAAAAUAAAGUGCUGCAGUAAACCAAAAAAUAAAUAUAAUUCGCUCUAACCUCU